CCAGUUUCAUCCUCGAGAACAUUUAAAUUCCGGUGUUCGUUCCUUACCGGAGACACCAAGAAUUUCAUCAGCCAGAAGGUCAGAUGUUGAGCACAGGUUGUCCCUUCAAAUUGACAAAGAGAAUUUCUGUGAAAAAAUUGAAUUCAAGAAAAUGGGUACAAGGAGAGAAUUCAAGAAAGCGGAUGAAAAUACAAAUCAAGGCCAAUAUGCGAAGCAGAUGGUGAAGCAAAUUAAAGAAAAUAUCAGCAGAAAAGUUGGUAUUGAUAUUACUAACACAAUCAGAAACAGUGAGAUAAGACGCGAUGAACAUCUUGUUCUACUGAAGCCCAGAAAUUCAUCCAGGAUUUUAACAGGACUUGACGACGAAUCCAGGCCUUGGAAAGGUUCAAAUCCAUCCAGGAUUUCAACAGGUGAAUCCACUCCUGUAAAACAACCAAAUCCAUUGAAGAUUUUAACAGGAUUCGACAAUGAAUCCAGGCCCGGAAAACAACCAAAGCCAUCUUUUUCACCAGGGCUCCGGUUCUUGGAGUCUAAGAACAAACCCGUCGAAAACUCAGUCCAAAAAUGCAGGAAAGUUGCAAGUGACAAAUACUAUUCAUCUACCAAGAAACCUCCACAAGCAUCUGAUGCUAUCAGGAACAAGAAAGAGGAACCAUUCAUUCGUUCAGCAAAACCAAAUCUUUCAGACAAGAAGAACAAGAAAAAUACUCCUUUGUCAAAUGAAUUUUCCAAUAGCAAGACAGACCCUUCACGUCCAACUCCAAGCCUCCCAAAUGUAAAACUGAAAAAGUUUGAUGACGGAAGCUGCAAUUUUACGGUACUGAUAUAAUUUAGUUCUAUUUUUGGGUCCUACAACUUGUAAUUGUUUAUCUUAUAAUUUUUUAAUGAAAAUCCAGUCGCAGGUAUCAGAUGCUCUUUCAUCGAAAAAGAGAACACAGUUAUCUAGUUGUUCGAGCCCAUCGUACAAUCAAGAAACAUUCAACCAAGAAAACAUCAAACCAGACAAACGUAACGGUGCUCCUACCUCCGGUAAUCGAGAUUCCAAUCAGUACAUUCAAAAAAUCCUUAAACGUACUGGGAUUAUAGACAAUGGUACCCCAGUGUCGUUGGCUAAAUGGUACUCCCCUUCACACCCUCUUGAUCC
rnacentral:lncRNA from 1 species